rnacentral:siRNA from 1 species
AUAGGGUCCACCUAGUUCUUGUGC